UGCGGAGGAUCAUUAUCGUUGGGCUUCGGCCCAUUCGAGAUAACACCCUUGCCUUUUUGAGUACCUUUUCGUUUCCUCGGCAGGCUCGCCUGCCAACGGGGACAACUAAAACGCUUUGUAAUACCUGUAAUUGUCUGAUAUAACAAGCAAAAAAUUAAAACUUUCAACAACGGAUCUCUUGGUUCUGGCAUCGAUGAAGAACGCAGCGAAAUGCGAUAAGUAGUGUGAAUUGCAGAAUUCAGUGAAUCAUCGAAUCUUUGAACGCACAUUGCGCCCUUUGGUAUUCCUUAGGGCAUGCCUGUUCGAGCGUCAUUUAAACCUUCAAGCUCAGCUUGGUGAUGGGUGACUGUCCUCUCCUCGCGUUAGGACUCGCCCCAAAUACAUUGGCGGCCGGUACAUUGGCUUCGAGCGCAGCAGAAACGCGGUCUCGAGUCCGGUGGACUUGCUCCCAUAAGCAUCUUUUUAUUUUGACCUCGGAUCAGGUAGGGAUACCCGCUGAACUUAAGCAUAUCAAUAAGCGGAGGAAAAGAAACCAACAGGGAUUGCCCUAGUAACGGCGAGUGAAGCGGCAAUAGCUCAAAUUUGAAAUCUGGCCCUUUCAGGGUCCGAGUUGUAAUUUGUAGAGGGUGCUUUGGCGUUGGCUGUGGUCUAAGUUCCUUGGAACAGGACGUCGCAGAGGGUGAGAAUCCCGUAUGUGGCCGCCAGUCUUCGCCGUGUAAAGCCCCUUCGACGAGUCGAGUUGUUUGGGAAUGCAGCUCUAAAUGGGAGGUAAAUUUCUUCUAAAGCUAAAUAUUGGCCAGAGACCGAUAGCGCACAAGUAGAGUGAUCGAAAGAUGAAAAGCACUUUGGAAAGAGAGUCAAAAAGCACGUGAAAUUGUUGAAAGGGAAGCGCUUGCAGCCAGACUUGCCUGUAGUUGCUCAUCCGGGCUUUUGCCCGGUGCACUCUUCUAUGGGCAGGCCAGCAUCAGUCCCGGCGGUUGGAUAAAUGCCUGUUGAAUGUACCACUCUUCGGGGUGGACUUAUAGCCUCGGGCGGCAUACAACCAGCUGGGAUUGAGGUCCGCGCAUCU
rnacentral:rRNA from 1 species